GCGGUUAAAAAGCUCGUAGUUGGAUUUCUGUUGAGGACGGCCGGUCCGCACUAUGUGCGUGUAUCUGGUUCGGCCUUGGCAUCCUCUUGAGGAACGUUCCUGCGCUUGAUUGCGUGGGGCGGUAUUCAAGACUUUUACUUUGAGGAAAUUAGAGUGUUCACGGCAGGCAAGCGCCUUGAAUACAUUAGCAUGGAAUAAUAAUAUAGGAUCUUGGUUCUAUUUGUUGGUUUCUAGGGCUAAGGUAAUGAUUAAUAGGGAUAAUUGGGGGCAUUUGUAUUAACGCGUCAGAGGUGGAAUUCUUGGAUUGCGUUACAACAAACUACUGCGAAAGCAUUUGCCAAGGAUGUUUUCAUUGAUCAAGAACGAAAGUAUGGGGAUCGAAGAUGAUUAGAUACCGUCGUAGUCUAUACCAUAAACUAUGCCGACUAAGGAUUGGAGGUCGUUCUUUUUAUGACUCCUUCAGCACCUUAUGAGAAAUCAAAGUCUUUGGGUUCCGGGGGGAAUAUAGU
rnacentral:rRNA from 1 species